AGAGGAGGGGUUGGCAGUGAAGCCUGGGUUAUAGAACUCUCCUUCCUCUCCCUCCUUCCAGGGUUGCCGUGCAGGGAGUGUCAGCCACGUCUAGCGCACAGUCCCAGGCCCCAGGGCGAAGGCGGCCAGGGGAAAUGGGGCUCAGGGAUUGCUAAGCAAACGCAUCACUGGUGGUCUCCAGCGCCUGCGGAGUAUCUUUUGCUGCCUCUUACGUAUUGUAGGCAGUGCCUGAUGGCUGAGAAGAAUCGCAGAGGACUAGAAAAGGUUUGAGUCUGAAAUUAUCUGGCACAGAGGAUUAAAGCUCAGAAAUAAGUGAUUGCGAAACAGUUCAACUUCCCUGUUAAUGACAACAACAACAGCAACACGCUUAUUAAUUCCUAGCUGGAGCAUCAAGCUUAUGAAGAUUUCCAAGACUUUAUUGUUGACCCUUGUUGAAGAGAACUCUACUUGGCUUCUUUCCUGGCUUUCCUAAAUUGUUCACAUACAAGAUAAACUACCGUCAUUCAGACUUACAGAAGUGAGAAGACAAGCUGAACCAAAUGUAAAAUGGUAGCAAUUUACAGAUGUCAGAACUAACAUGUGGAUGAACUUAGAGAUGGAGAAGAAAGCUGGGCUUUUCCAAAGAGUGGAUCUAUCUGAACUGGAUAGCACUAUUGAACUUUGUUGCAUAUUUUGUGGUAGCUCUAAAACUCCUCUGCUUGCUUACAUACAACCAGACACCAGUGCCUUCUGAAGCUAAUCCAGGCCAUUUUUAUAACCUAAUGCAGUAGCACUUUGCAAUUAGAUGAAGAAGAUCGGUGGGAUUUCUUUCUGUGGUGAUUAAAAUGUGUCAGGGGAAGAAAUCAAGACAAUACUCCAAGUGAAAAAUAUAAAGUCAGUUAUUUCUUUAAUAUUUUGUGUUAUAGUAAUCAUUUUUAUAUUUUGAGCAUACUUUUUCUUGUCUACUUAAAUACUCAAAAUUAAUUAUAAAAUGUAAAUGUAAGCACAAUGAGAUACCAUCUCAUCCCAGUUAAAAUGGCUUUUAUCAAAAAGAUAGGGAAUAAUGAAUACUGGUGGAAGGAUGUGGAGAAUGGGGAACCCUCGUACACUGUCAAUGAGAAUGUAAAUUAGUACAGCCACUAUGGAAAACUGUAUGGAAGUGCCUCCGAAAACAAAGUAGAACUACCAUGUGAUCCAGCAAUUACACUAGUGGGUAUAUAUUCAAAAGAAAGGAAAUCAACAUAUUAAAGAGAUAGCUGCAUUCUCAUGUUUAUUGAAGUCCUGUUGAAAUAGCCAAAAUAUGGAAUCAACCUAAGUGCCCAUCAGUGGAUGAAUGGUUAAAGAAAAUGUGAUUGAUAUGCAAUGGAAUAUUAUUCAGCCAUAAAAAAGAAUGAAAUCCUGGCGGGGCACAGUGGCUCAUGCAAGUAAUCCCAGCACUGACCUCAUGAAGACAGAGAGUAGAUUGGUGGUUACCAGAGGUUGAGAAGGGGAGAGGAGAGGAGGGAUGAAGAGAGGUUGAUUGAUGGAUAGAAAUAUACAGUUUGAUAAUGAUAAAUCAGUAGGGUGACUAUAGUUUAUAAUAACCUAUUGUAUGGUUCAAAAUAGCUAAAAGAGAAUAAUUGAAAUAACGUAAGACAAAAAUUUAAGAUGAUAGAUAUCCCAAUUACACUGAUUUGAUCUUUACAAAUUAUAUGAAUGUAUUAAAUUAUUACAUGUAUCCCCAAAAUAUGUACAAGUAUUUUGUAUCAAUAAAAAAUAAAAUUUAAGAUAAAGUAAAUGUAAUGAUUAGCUUAUAUUUCCUAGAUCGGAAAUAAAUAUUUACUUAAGUAUGUUUAUGAUGAAGAGUUUUUUUAUAUUACUAUAAAAAUAGACACCUUACAUAAACAUAUUACAGUUGGUGUUUAGAUGGCUCUUUUUUUUCUGGCCUUGAAUUUCUGGAAAGUAGGUAUGGCCUGCUAUGUCAGGACUAGUUCUUGGAAUUCUUUGUUGUUUUUCAGUCAGCCUUAUUUUCUUGGGUCAUGUUUUGAACAAUAUUUAUCAAAUGUCUGUUUACCAGACGUUGUUCCAGAUGCUUGAACAAAAUGAAAUGUCUGCUGUCAUAGAGUUUCCAGUCUAUGUAAGACAGUAAACAAAUGUAUAAUAUAAUGCUAGAUAGUGAUAAGUGCUAAAAAGAAGAAGAAAAUAGGAAAGGGGAAAGAGAGUUUCUGUGUGAUUGUAUGUGAAAGUGUCCAUGCAUGCCGCUCACCCAGUAUUUUAAAUAGAGUGAUCAAGGAAGCCUGUCUGAAGAAGUAACAUUUGAACAGAGAUCUGAAAUAGUCAGUCACGGGAACAUUUAGGGAGAUGUUCCAGGCAGGCAUUGUGGACAAUUUAUGUCACAAAAAAGUCACCCAAGUGUUAAGUCAAGUAACAUCCUGUAUGAUAACUAUAUAUACAUUUUUUUGUUUUUUCUUAAGUGAAAAACAAACUUAUUAGGUUUUCUGGGUACUCAUUAGGUUUUCAGAAAAGUUUUUCAUUUAAUAUCAUUAU
rnacentral:lncRNA from 1 species